rnacentral:piRNA from 4 species
UCAGACUUUUAAUCUGAGGGUCCAGGGU